AUAGCUUAAAUUAAAGCUUCAUGGCUUAGCAGAGAAUUGGAAAUAAGCUAGUUUUUAUUGAUUUUUGUGAAGAGUUUAUACAAGCACAUGUGAAUGGGUGUAUAUACAAUCUGGCAACCCAGUUGUCAAUAGACGCAUAUGCUCACGGAGAAGAGAGAGAGAGAGAGAGAGAGAGAGAGCGAGCGAAGGGAAUGGAGUAAUGCGGCUGACAAAGUGAGUUUAAUGGGCAAAACGCCAAAGAAAUAAAUUAACACCGCGUUAUAUAGCCACUACAAAAGUACAAUAAGUUAAAAACUUCAUUUUGGUUCGAAUUGAAAUAAGCACUAACGAGAAAACUGGUAAAGUUGCCCCGAGAAACGCCGAAGUGGAUGAACUGACAGGCUAAUUCUGUCGACGUUAGCGUUAGCCGUGGAGACCUCGUACUCUCGUGGCGAUGAAAGGCGGUAGUGUACACCGAGUCCACUCCGCAUGACUCAGCAGCCAUUCUUCGUGCCAUGUGAGUAAUGUUUGGAUACUAAUCUCUUAAAAGCUGUCUAUUAUCCCUCUCCUAUAGCGCUCAGCUCGGAUAAACAAUAGAGAGCCACAUCUGUGAUCUACUGCCCUUUGUUCAUCGUACAGCAGGACGUGACCGCGUUCACGACGCGCGUGGACUCUCACGAUGUAGAAGCCUGACACGUAUUUAUCCAGGUGUACCAACUCCUCCCAGUUCAAACCCCUCGCCUGGCUCCAGUCCUGGGCUUUCCUGUGAUUUUUCUCAUUUAAUCACUCCUUCAAUUGCAUACAAACGUCCGUAAGCUGCACGUGUGAAAUCUACGUAAUUAAAGCACAAGGACGUUCUGAUGUCGUCAUAACAUUUACCCGGACUCAAACGGUAUCGGACAUCACUCGACGGCAUUUUAUGUUGACGAGAAAAUGCAAAAAUAGAACCGGAUGUUCACAUGUUUGAUGUAUUAACUUAACCACGCAUCAGCAGAGACACUGUGAGGACGCAGUCUUGUGCGUUUUCAUCUUGAAUCCGACGACUAUUUAAAGUUCGGAUUUUAAUUUGGCAGCACCCGAGCAGACGAGAGGACGGGAGCGGAUGGUGACGUUCAUUCCUGUGUAAACGAACACGCGUGCAAGCACGACGGGUCACGUCGAGGUCCGCAAAAACGAUCCAGGUCACGUCCGUAUAUCGCGCGAUGAGUCAAUAACGUAAUUAU
ensembl:lncRNA